rfam:Daucus carota subsp. sativus cultivar DH1 chromosome 8, whole genome shotgun sequence.
CUCCAUGAGUCCCUCCGGAAUUCUGGUAAAAUUGGAACGAUACAGAGACGAUUAGCAUGACUCCAAUAUGCACAAAUCGAGAAAUGGUCCAAAAUUUA